rnacentral:rRNA from 1 species
UACGAAGGGGGCUAGCGUUGUUCGGAUUUACUGGGCGUAAAGCGCACGUAGGCGGAUAUUUAAGUCAGGGGUGAAAUCCCGGGGCUCAACCCCGGAACUGCCUUUGAUACUGGGUAUCUUUGAGUCCGGAAGAGGUGAGUGGAAUUCCGAGUGUAGAGGUGAAAUUCGUAGAUAUUCGGAGGAACACCAGUGGCGAAGGCGGCUCACUGGUCCGGUACUGACACUGAGGCGCGAAGGCGUGGGGAGCGAACGGG